UGAGCAAUCUGCCCUUCACUUCGGGAUAACUCCGGGAAACCGGUGCUAAUACCGAAUACGACCACCGAUGGCAUCGUCUGGUGGUGGAAAGUUCCGGCGGUGAAGGAUGAGCUCGCGGCCUAUCAGCUCGUUGGUGGGGUAAUGGCCCACCAAGGCAACGACGGGUAGCCGGCCUGAGAGGGUGACCGGCCACACUGGGACUGAGACACGGCCCAGACUCCUACGGGAG
rnacentral:rRNA from 1 species